rnacentral:rRNA from 1 species
UAGGGAAUCUUCCACAAUGGACGCAAGUCUGAUGGAGCAACGCCGCGUGAGUGAAGAAGGUUUUCGGAUCGUAAAGCUCUGUUGUUGGUGAAGAAGGAUAGAGGCAGUAACUGGUCUUUAUUUGACGGUAAUCAACCAGAAAGUCACGGCUAACUACGUGCCAGCAGCCGCGGUAAUACGUAGGUGGCAAGCGUUGUCCGGAUUUAUUGGGCGUAAAGCGAGCGCAGGCGGAAUGAUAAGUCUGAUGUGAAAGCCCACGGCUCAACCGUGGAACUGCAUCGGAAACUGUCAUUCUUGAGUGCAGAAGAGGAGAGUGGAAUUCCAUGUGUAGCGGUGGAAUGCGUAGAUAUAUGGAAGAACACCAGUGGCGAAGGCGGCUCUCUGGUAUGCAACUGACGCUGAGGCUCGAAAGCAUGGGUAGCGAACAGG